rnacentral:rRNA from 4 species
CUUUGACCUCGGAUCAGGUAGGGAUAC